rnacentral:rRNA from 1 species
UAGUGGUUUACGGGUGAGUAACGCGUGAGCAACCUGCCUUACAGAGGGGGAUAACGUUUGGAAACGAACGCUAAUACCGCAUAUGAUAGUAUUACCGCAUGGUGGAGCUAUGAAAGGAGCAAUCCGCUGUAAGAUGGGCUCGCGUCCGAUUAGGUAGUUGGUGGGGUAACGGCCUACCAAGCCGACGAUCGGUAGCCGGACUGAGAGGUUGAACGGCCACAUUGGGACUGAGACACGGCCCAGACUCCUACGGGAGGCAGCAGUGGGGGAUAUUGCACAAUGGGGGAAACCCUGAUGCAGCAACGCCGCGUGAGGGAAGAAGGUUUUCGGAUUGUAAACCUCUGUCCUUGGUGAAGAUAAUGACGGUAGCCAAGGAGGAAGCUCCGGCUAACUACGUGCCAGCAGCCGCGGUAAUACGUAGGGAGCAAGCGUUGUCCGGAUUUACUGGGUGUAAAGGGUGCGUAGGCGGGAGAGCAAGUCAGUAGUGAAAUCCAUGGGCUUAACCCAUGACGUGCUAUUGAAACUGUUCUUCUUGAGUGAGUCAGAGGCAGGCGGAAUUCCCGGUGUAGCGGUGAAAUGCAUAGAGAUCGGGAGGAACACCAGUGGCGAAGGCGGCCUGCUGGGGCUUAACUGACGCUGAGGCACGAAAGCGUGGGGAGCAAACAGGAUUAGAUACCCUGGUAGUCCACGCAGUAAACGAUGAUAACUCGUUGUCGGCGAUACACAGUCGGUGACCAAGCGAAAGCGAUAAGUUAUCCACCUGGGGAGUACGUUCGCAAGAAUGAAACUCAAAGGAAUUGACGGGGGCCCGCACAAGCGGAGGAACAUGUGGUUUAAUUCGAUGAUACGCGAGGAACCUUACCCGGGCUUGAAAGUUAGUGACGGACUUGGAAACAGGUCUUCCCUUCGGGGCACGAAACUAGGUGCUGCAUGGUUGUCGUCAGCUCGUGCCGUGAGGUGUCGGGUUAAGUCCCAUAACGAGCGCAACCCCUACUGUUAGUUGCCAUCAGGUUAAGCUGGGCACUCUAGCGGGACUGCCGGUGUAAGCCGAGAGGAAGGUGGGGAUGACGUCAAAUCAGCACGGCCCUUACGUCCGGGGCUACACACGUGUUACAAUGGUAGGUACAGAGGGUCGCUAUCCUGUGAAGGAGUGCCAAUCUCGAAAGCCUAUCUCAGUUCGGAUUGGAGGCUGAAACCCGCCUCCAUGAAGUUGGAUUCGCUAGUAAUCGCGCAUCAGCCAUGGCGCGGUGAAU